rnacentral:rRNA from 1 species
UACGUAGGUCCCGAGCGUUGCCCGGAUUUACUGGGCGUAAAGGGAGCGUAGGCGGACUUUUAAGUGAGAUGUGAAAUACUCGGGCUCAACUUGAGUGCUGCAUUUCAAACUGGAAGUCUAGAGUGCAGGAGAGGAGAAUGGAAUUCCUAGUGUAGCGGUGAAAUGCGUAGAGAUUAGGAAGAACACCAGUGGCGAAGGCGAUUCUCUGGACUGUAACUGACGCUGAGGCUCGAAAGCGUGGGGAGCAAACAGG